AUUGAACGCUGGCGGCAGGCCUAACACAUGCAAGUCGAACGAGAGGCGGACGGGAUAGCAAUUGCUGAAACACUGCCUGAUGGCGGGGGAUAACUGAUGGACACGGGUGCUAAUACCGCAUUCCAUCGACUGUGCCCAGAUGGCAUUAGGGAGUGGGUAGGUGAACGGCUAACCUAGGCGACGAUCCCUAGCUGGUCUGAGAGGAUGACCAGCCACACGGGAACUGAGAAACGGUCCAGACUCCUACGGGAGGCAGCAGUGGGGAAUAUUGCACAAUGGGGGAAAGCCUGAUGCAGCCAUGCCGCGUGUAUGAAGAAGGCCUUCGGGUUGUAAAGUACUUUCAGCGGGGAGGCGUUACUCGCAGAAGAAGCACCGGCUAACUCCGUGCCAGCCGCCGCGGUAAUAC
rnacentral:rRNA from 1 species